rnacentral:lncRNA from 1 species
UGCUUAACGUCUGCUCAGUGAUGCGUGACUGUGAUUGCUGCAAACAUCUUCAUUGUCUACCCUAGCUGCAUACUCGAUGGUGUGAACUCUUUCUUUCUUUCUUUGUUGUUUAACGCCACACUCAGCAAUAUCCGUGCUAAAUUAGGUGGUCUGUAAAUAAUACUGUCUGGACCAGACAAUCCAGUGAUUGACAUCACGAGCAUCGGUUUACGCAAUUAUAAGAUGACGUGCAUGAACCAAGUCAGCGAGUCUGACCACCCGAUCCUGUUAGUCGCCUCUUAUAACGUCACACAACAGUAGCAGAAGGUUCUUCUAAAUGUUAAUAAACUUACAAGGCAGGCAAUAUAUCAACAAUGCCCGGGGUUUUCCGGUGUAAUGACCUGAUGAAUACCUAGGUUUUACAAUUAACAUUUCAUUAACUUGAAUCUUGUUGAUGUGAACAAAAUUGUGUUUGAUGAUUUGUUAAAAGUCAAAAUUAUUUUUAACAUGUAAAUUCCAUGAUGUGAAACGAACCCUGCAUCCUCAUAUAUCGUGUUAAGUUUUGUAGCCCACUGUUUUCCCACUGAGCUACCAGGGCAAGUGAUGAGCAGUUUUUAAGUUUGUCAUGCCAUGACUCCAACUAGUCCAUGCUUGCACGUGGGUUUUCUCUCGCAGGCUUUGAGCGAAUUCCUUUUAUACUGCGAUACGCUGUAUUGUUUCACUAUAAGGUAUGUCAGUGUUUUCUUAUUUUUUCUGGAAUUUCUUGCAUUUGGUUGGUUCAUAAGUUGAAUAAAACACGGCUCCUCGGUUUUGGCUAAAAAUUAAAACCUUGGGCAUGCUUUAUCCUAUACUUCUACCCAGGGUUUUCUUAAGUCGAUGAUGGGAACGGAUCCGCCUCAGUGACACUUACCAUGGACGUUGUAGCUAAGUCUGUUAUACAUGAGUGAAAGUCAUGUAGUGUGUUACAGGUGAGUGAGUGUCAUGCAGUGUUGAUUAGUGUUACAGGUGAGUGUCAUGCAGUGUUAAAGGAUGUUACAGGUGAGUGAGUGUCAUGCAGUGUUGAAUGUCGUUACAGGUGUUACAGAUAAGUGAGUGUCAUGCAGUGUUAAGGGGUGUUACAGGUGAGUGAGUGUCAUGUAGUGUGGAAGGGUGGUACAGAUGAAUGAGUGUCAUGCAGUAUUGAUGGGUGUUACAGGUGUUACAGAUAAGUGAGUGUCAUGCAGUGUUGAUGGGUGUUACAGAUAAGUGAGUGUCAUGUAGUGUGGAAGGGUGUUACAGGUGAGUGAGUGUCAUGUAGUGUGGAAGGGUGGUACAGAUGAAUGAGUGUCAUGCAGUAUUGAUGGGUGUUACAGGUGUUACAGAUAAGUGAGUGUCAUGCAGUGUUGAUGGGUGUUACAGGUGUUACAGAUAAGUGAGUGUCAUGCAGUGUUGAAGGGUGUUACAGAUAAGUGAGUGUCAUGUAGUGUGGAAGGGUGUUACAGGUGAGUGAGUGUCAUGUAGUGUGGAAGGGUGGUACAGAUGAAUGAGUGUCAUGCAGUAUUGAUGGGUGUUACAGGUGUUACAGAUAAGUGAGUGUCAUACAGUGUUGAUGGGUGUUACAGGUGUUACAGAUAAGUGAGUGUCAUGCAGUGUUGAUGGGUGUUACAGAUAAGUGAGUGUCAUGUAGUGUGGAAGGGUGUUACAGGUGAGUGAGUGUCAUGUAGUGUGGAAGGGUGGUACAGAUGAAUGAGUGUCAUACAGUGUUGAUGGGUGUUACAGGUGUUACAGAUAAGUGAGUGUCAUGCAGUGUUGAAGGGUGUUACAGGUGAGUGAGUGUCAUGUAGUGUGGAAGGGUGGUACAGAUGAAUGAGUGUCAUGCAGUAUUGAUGGGUGUUACAGGUGUUACAGAUAAGUGAGUGUCAUGCAGUGUUGAUGGGUGUUACAGGUGAGUGAGUGUCAUGUAGUGAGUGUGGAAGGGUGUUACAGGUGAGUGAGUGUCAUGUAGUGUGGAAGGGUGUUACAGGUGAGUGAGUGUCAUGCAGUUUUGAUGGGUGUUAGUGUCAGUGUUCCUG